GGCGAACGGGUGAGUAAUGCAUCGGAACAUGUCCAUGUCGUGGGGGAUAGCCCGGCGAAAGCCGGAUUAAUACCGCAUACGCCCGAGAGGGGAAAGUGGGGGACCGCAAGGCCUCACGCGAUUGGGUUGGCCGAUGUCCGAUUAGCUUGUUGGUGAGGUAAAGGCUUACCAAGGCGAUGAUCGGUAGCUGGUCUGAGAGGAUGAUCAGCCACACUGGGACUGAGACACGGCCCAGACUCCUACGGGAGGCAGCAGUGGGGAAUUUUGGACAAUGGGGGCAACCCUGAUCCAGCCAUUCCGCGUGAGUGAAGAAGGCCUUCGGGUUGUAAAGCUCUUUUGUCAGGAGCGAAACGGUACGGGUGAAUAUCCCGUGCUACUGACGGUACCGGAAGAAUAAGCACCGGCUAACUACGUGCCAGCAGCCGCGGUAAUACGUAGGGUGCGAGCGUUAAUCGGAAUUACUGGGCGUAAAGCGUGCGCAGGCGGUUGUGUAAGCCAGAUGUGAAAUCCCCGGGCUUAACCUGGGAAUGGCAUUUGGGACUGCACGGCUUGAGUAUGGCAGAGGGGACUAGAAUUCC
rnacentral:rRNA from 1 species